rnacentral:rRNA from 1 species
AGAGUUUGAUCCUGGCUCAGAAUGAACGCUGGCGGCGUGCUUAACACAUGCAAGUUGAGCGGUAAGGCCCCUUCGGGGGUACACGAGCAGCGAACGGGUGAGUAACGCGUGGGUAAUCUACCUAGAGGUGGGGGAUAGCCUCGGGAAACCGGGGGUAAUACCGCAUGAGUCCUUUCCAACAUAAGUUGGAUUGGGGAAAGGCGGGGAUCUUAGGACCUGUCGCCACUAGAUGAGCCCGCGUCCGAUUAGCUUGUUGGUGGGGUAAUGGCCUACCAAGGCAUCGAUCGGUAGCCGGCCUGAGAGGGUGAACGGCCACAUUGGGACUGAGACACGGCCCAGACUCCUACGGGAGGCAGCAGUGGGGAAUUUUGGGCAAUGGGGGAAACCCUGACCCAGCGACGCCGCGUGGAGGAUGAAGGCCUUCGGGUUGUAAACUCCUGUCAGGUGGGAAGAAGAGCUUUGUGGCUAAUAUCCACAAGGAAUUGACGGUACCACCAAAGGAAGCCCCGGCUAACUCCGUGCCAGCAGCCGCGGUAAUACGGGGGGGGCAAGCGUUAUUCGGAUUUACUGGGCGUAAAGCGCACGUAGGUGGCGAUGUAAGUCACAGGUGAAAGCCCUCGGCUCAACCGAGGAACUGCCUGCGAAACUGCAUUGCUUGAGUCCGGGAGGGGGGAGCGGAAUUCCAAGUGUAGCGGUGAAAUGCGUAGAUACUUGGAGGAACACCGGUGGCGAAGGCGGCUCCCUGGACCGGUACUGACACUGAGGUGCGAAAGCGUGGGUAGCAAACAGGAUUAGAUACCCUGGUAGUCCACGCCGUAAACGAUGGGCACUAGGUGCAGCGGGUGUCG